AUUGAACGCUGGCGGCAGGCCUAACACAUGCAAGUCGAGCGGAUGAAGGGAGCUUGCUCCUGGAUUCAGCGGCGGACGGGUGAGUAAUGCCUAGGAAUCUGCCUGGUAGUGGGGGAUAACGUCCGGAAACGGGCGCUAAUACCGCAUACGUCCUGAGGGAGAAAGUGGGGGAUCUUCGGACCUCACGCUAUCAGAUGAGCCUAGGUCGGAUUAGCUAGUUGGUGGGGUAAAGGCCUACCAAGGCGACGAUCCGUAACUGGUCUGAGAGGAUGAUCAGUCACACUGGAACUGAGACACGGUCCAGGCUCCUACGGGAGGCAGCAGUGGGGAAUAUUGGACAAUGGGCGAAAGCCUGAUCCAGCCAUGCCGCGUGUGUGAAGAAGGUCUUCGGAUUGUAAAGCACUUUAAGUUGGGAGGAAGGGCAGUAAGUUAAUACCUUGCUGUUGUGACGUUACCAACAGAAUAAGCACCGGCUAACUUCGUG
rnacentral:rRNA from 1 species